CCCUAAAGUCCUUUAACACA
rnacentral:tRNA from 1 species